rnacentral:lncRNA from 1 species
GUUGAUUCCUAGAGGUGGAAUCCAUUAAACUGACAAAGCCCCAGUCCCGGGGUCCUAAUAGUCGGGACUAUUAGGUCAUCCUGGGUACUCAGGCCUCUAGACUCUAGACUGAGCUGCCUUGGUCACUCGGGGGCAGUUGGCAGAGUAUUCGUGGUCAGGGAGGUGACCCGUGGUCAGCAGGAUCAGGCCACCCAGGGACAAAGGGUGCUUCUGCGCCAGGCCCUGGAGAAGGACAGAGCGGUGGGGACUCGGGGUCGGCCGCAGAUAGGGGAGUCACCACCUGCCGGCAAUCAGCCAUGACUGCCUUUGCACUGUCCAUGCUCUCAGCCCACCACCUCGUCCCCCUGCCAUUGCAGUGGCUAACACUGGAGACGAAGACCAAGACACCACAGCCUUUCUCCAGUACCUCUCAAAUCAGCACAGACAAGGACAAAGGCCUCAAUCCACAACUGCUGAAGAUGGACCCUGGCCACAUGGGAUGGUCAGACACGCCUGCCCAGCUAUCUGCAGGCGAAGAGGCUCAGAAGAGGUUUGGGGGCCUGAAGGACAUCUUGCUUCCAUGUCCAUAUGAGCAGGCUAUUUGUGCUCCAUGAGUCAAUUUUGCCAUAUAAAAUACUUAAUUUCAGCCAUUCCAGGGUGCUAUAGGAUGCACAACUUCCCAUCAACCCACCUGAACUCCAGCCAUGCCAUUUUAAUACCAGGAAUGAGGUCACCUGCUUUCCUGCCCCUUAGGAGGCCAGAGCCAUGGAAGCAAAAUGGCACUUCUGUUUACCUGUUAUAUUAUUUUUUGUAAUCCUCAUAUGUUUGGAAAAUGCAAUUAUAUGAAAAAAGUUUAGUAAUUACAGACAUAACAGCAGAAAGACCUUGGAACCAAGCUUAUUCUCAUGGCCGAUUCUGCUCCACCUGGGACUCUGCUGUGCUGCAGGCAUCCUGUGGUCAGAAUCGCAGAGGGGCCAUCAGGGAGGGUCUUCCCAGAGGAUGGACCUCACGUGACUGCUGCCUGAGCAAGUGGCACUGGCCACUCUGCCUGGAGAGAGGAGUAAAUACAGGGCUGGCCAGGUGACCUGCACACUCUGCUACCGGCCUUGUCCAUCUUUAGCCUCUAAUUUGAAAAUGAGGAACACACAGACCAAGAGUAUCUUUGAGGGUUAGUACAGACCACAGAAAUGCCCUGGGCCUUUCACUCUCUCCUUUUGCAAAUUCCCAUGUGUGGAAAUGCCGUUUGGAUAAUGAGGGAGCCUGAAGAAGGUGGACACAUGAGCAGCCCCGACACGGCUGGCUCCAUCCUCUGAAAAUGGGGCCCCGUGCCCAGCGUGUGGCCUUACUGGUUCAGUCUUCUUUACAGUGGGAGGUUUUGAGUGCCCAGAUGCCCAGUGCCUCCUACCUGGAACAGCACAGGAUCUGGCAGACCCCUGGAAGAAUCGCAUGCACACUUGAAUAUUCAGGGAGUUCCUGCCCAGCAGAGCUCGCCUCUGUGGCUACCUUGGUCUUGCUGCUGAUAUCUGCCAGAAAAGGCCUGGACUUGGAGACAAGCCUGGGAUUUACACUCAGUCCUUCCCCAUCUGGCUGGUUCCACUUCCUUGGCUCUCACUGCUGGAAGUCUGUGCUCCUGAACAUCAAGUCAGAGGGGGCAUCUGAAUGCAGGGCAGGGAGCCUCAGAUGGGAAGAAGUCAGAGGAACCAGAAUGUGUCAGAAAAUGCCAAGUCAUGUGCCUGAGCUCAAAAGUCAGCUGGGCCACAGGCUGGCUGUGUGAUCUUGGGCAAGUUCAACCAGCUUCUUUAUACCUCUUUUCUCGCCUCAAAAUGGUAAGAGAAACCACUUCACUAAUACACUGA